UAGUGGUACUCAAUCGUGCUUCUCAUCCCUGAUAUAUUUUUUCUCAAGAUACUGUGCUUACUUUUAUUGAUGCAGGGGACUGAAUAAUAUUUUGCGACUAUAUGUUAAGAAGGUCAACAGCUCAAAGUGGGAGCAAGUCCCUGUUCCUUCAAGUGUUCGGUCUAUUGUCACUCUGAAUCUCCCUAGCUAUGGCGGUGGAAGGAAUCCAUGGGGUCAUUUGAAGCCAGAGUACUUGGAGAAGAGGGGUUUUGUGGAAGCCCAUGCAGAUGAUGGUUGCCUUGAAAUUUUUGGCCUGAAACAAGGAUGGCAUGCUUCUAUGGUUAUGGUUGAGCUCAUCUCUGCAAAACACAUUGCCCAGGGAUUCGUAUAGAUAAAAUAGAGCUUUGUGACAGAUUUGAUUUGCAUAGAUACUCAGCUUUUGUUGAUGAAAUCUCAAAGAACAUGAGGUCGUAAGAGGGAAUGUGGUCAUGCAUUAAGAGAUCCAGUAAAACCUAUUGGCACAUUUAGUAGUGCUUCUCAAAAUUGACCUUGUUUGAAUUUUUGGACACGUGUUGAUUUGAAAUAUAUUUUCCUUAAGGAAGAAAGUAUCUUGUUUACUUGUGUAUGGUUGAAAAGAUGAUCGA